GUUAAUAAAGAAUUUAUGGUUCCACCUAGUGUGUGAACUAAAAUCUUUAUUUCCUUCCUUUUGGAUAUACUCCACCAAUUAUUUAUAAUUGUGUGGGUCAAAGUUAUUCAAAUCUUUUACUGUGAAGAAAUUAGAGUGUUCAAAGCAGGCGUAACCUAGCCUUUGAAUAUAUUAGCAUGGGAUAAUGAAAUAGGACUUUAGUUCUACUUUCGUUGGUUUCUAGGGCUGAAGUA
rnacentral:rRNA from 1 species